GUGGGGAAUCUUCCGCAAUGGACGAAAGUCUGACGGAGCGACGCCGCGUGAGUGAAGAAGGCCUUCGGGUCGUAAAGCUCUGUCAUCAGGGACGAACGGCCGGUGGAGUGGAAAGCCACCGGAUUGACGGUACCUGAGAAGGAAGCCACGGCUAACUACGUGCCAGCAGCCGCGGUAAUACGUAGGUGGCAAGCGUUGUCCGGAAUUAUUGGGCGUACAGCGCGCGCAGGUGGGAUCUUAAGUCCAUUUUUAAAGUUCGGAGCUCAACUCCGUGAUGGGAUGGAAACUGGGAUUCUUGAGUACCGGAGAGGAAAGCGGAAUUCCCCGUGUAGCGGUGAAAUGCGUAGAUAUAUGGAGGAACACCAGUGGCGAAAGCGGCUCUCUGGUCUGUAACUGACGCUGAGGUUCGAAAGCGUGGGUAGCAAACAGGAUUAGAUACCCGAGUAGUCC
rnacentral:rRNA from 1 species